UUUGACCUCAAAUCAGGUAGGACUACCCGCUGAACUUAAGCAUAUCAAUAAGCGGAGGAAAAGAAACUAACAAGGAUUCCCCUAGUAACUGCGAGUGAAGCGGGAAAAGCUCAAAUUUAAAAUCUGGCGGUCUUCUGGCUGUCCGAGUUGUAAUCUAGAGAAGUGUUAUCCGCGCUGGACCGUGUACAAGUCUCCUGGAAUGGAGCAUCAUAGAGGGUGAGAAUCCCGUCUUUGACAUGGACUACCAGGGCUUUGUGAUGCGCUCUCAAAGAGUCGAGUUGUUUGGGAAUGCAGCUCAAAAUGGGUGGUAAAUUCCAUCUAAAGCUAAAUAUUGGCGAGAGACCGAUAGCGAACAAGUACCGUGAGGGAAAGAUGAAAAGAACUUUGGAAAGAGAGUUAAACAGUACGUGAAAUUGCUGAAAGGGAAACGCUUGAAGUCAG
rnacentral:rRNA from 1 species